GACCAGGUAGCUCAGUUGGUUAGAGCAUUGUCCCAAUACACCAAAGUUGCAGGUUUGAUUCCUGGUCAGGGCA
rnacentral:tRNA from 1 species